UACGUAGGGGGCGAGCGUUGUCCGGAAUCAUUGGGCGUAAAGCGCGUGUAGGCGGUCCGGUAAGUCCGCUGUGAAAGUCGGGGGCUCAACCCUCGGAUGCCGGUGGAUACUGUCGGGCUUGAGUACGGAAGAGGCGAGUGGAAUUCCUGGUGUAGCGGUGGAAUGCGCAGAUAUCAGGAGGAACACCAAUAGCGAAGGCAGCUCGCUGGGACGUUACUGACACUGAGGCGCGAAAGCGUGGGGAGCGAACAGG
rnacentral:rRNA from 1 species